UACGAGAGGCCCAAACGUUAUUCGGAAUUACUGGGCUUAAAGAGUUCGUAGGCGGCGCAGUAAGUAGGGUGUGAAAGCCCUCGGCUCAACCGAGGAAUUGCGCUCUAAACUACUGUGCUUGAGGAACCUAGAGGUGAGCAGAACAGAUGGUGGAGCGGUGAAAUGCGUUGAUAUCAUCUGGAAUACCGGAGGCGAAGGCGGCUCACUGGGGGUUUUCUGACGCUGAGGAACGAAAGCCAGGGUAGCGAACGGG
rnacentral:rRNA from 1 species